GGAAUAUUGGACAAUGGGGGCAACCCUGAUCCAGCAAUGCCGCGUGUGUGAAGAAGGCCUUCGGGUUGUAAAGCACUUUAAGUUGGGAGGAAAAGCUUGUGGUUAAUAACCGUAAGUGUUGACGUUACCAACAGAAUAAGCACCGGCUAACUCCGUGCCAGCAGCCGCGGUAAUACGGCGGGUGCGAGCGUUAAUCGGAAUUACUGGGCGUAAAGCGCGCGUAGGCGGCGUGAUAAGCCGGUUGUGAAAGCCCCGGGCUCAACCUGGGAACGGCAUCCGGAACUGUCAGGCUAGAGUGCAGGAGAGGAAGGUAGAAUUCCCGGUGUAGCGGUGAAAUGCGUAGAGAUCGGGAGGAAUACCAGUGGCGAAGGCGGCCUUCUGGACUGACACUGACGCUGAGGUGCGAAAGCGUGGGUAGCA
rnacentral:rRNA from 1 species